rnacentral:rRNA from 1 species
CAGCAGCCACGGGAAUACGAAGGGUGCAAGCGUUAAUCGGAAUUACUGGGCGUAAAGCGUGCGUAGGCGGUGAGUUAAGUCUGCUGUGAAAUCCCCGGGCUCAACCUGGGAAUGGCAGUGGAUACUGGCUCGCUAGAGUGUGUCAGAGGAUAGUGGAAUUCCCGGUGUAGCGGUGAAAUGCGUAGAGAUCGGGAGGAACAUCAGUGGCGAAGGCGGCCAUCUGGGACAACACUGACGCUGAGGCACGAAAGCGUGGGGAGCAAACAGGAUUAGAUACCCCCGUAGUCCCUGUCUCUUAUAC